GUAGAAGCAAACCGGUUCUGCCUUCUAUACCUUGAUGGAGAAGGGCUUUCAUCCACUUCAACUAAUGAACCAGUGGAAUAGGAAUGCUGGCGAUUGGCAAGGUUGCUUAUAUAAGAUGGAGAUCCAACUGAUCUCUCUUCUUCAUCCAUCGCCGUGACAACGGUCACGCUUGACUUCAUGCUAGAAGGAAUUAAUCCGUGACCUGUAGAUCGGAUUUUCUGACGACUUUUCUGGAUCAAGUUUCGACCACGAUACUGUCAAUUGUGUUUGUGCAUGAUAAAGUGUAUGAAACACAACACCCGUGUUAUAACCACUGUCCUUUUUUGGCUACGCGAGGACACAGCAAGUUACAAAAAUGAAUAGGUCUACUGCAUAGAAAAAGACAAAGCAAAAGGUGAUCGAAGUCUGAUCCUUUCUAGAGGUGCACUGCUGGUUUCAAUGCCAUUUCUUCUCCUCAUAUUAUCCGUCACAACGCUAUCCAGAGAAAAAGCUUGCCGGGUGAUACCAGAUACUGACAGUUGACAUCUUAUGCCCACACAACCGUUAAAAAAAAUCCCAACUUACUGUCAUCUGCUCCUGAACAGCUGGAGGACCCAAGAGAGAGUAAACUUCCAUAUGAGCUUCCUUGAGAUCUUGCAGGAGAUCCUGGUAUUGAUAACAAAUCCUUUUCAUCCCAUGCCUCUUUAGAUGACGAGAACAACCUCCUUUCUGGUGAGUGUCUUCCACUGUCAGAACUUGCCGGUGAAGAUGCAUCAACAAAAACGUGAUUACUUGGUCUUGAUGGUCUGGGUGGUGUACUUGGUGCUUGCUUGGAUAUUUGGGGCCUUGGUUCACUUGACUUACUUACCAAAACCACGAUCAGAAAACACUUUACGACAAGCUGUAUCUUCUGUAAGGUCAAUGCUGGUUUUUCCAUCCU